UGCAUGAGUGGUGUUUGGUUUGAUACGGGUGGUCGGCUCCCUGCUUGAGCAGGCACGGCCACGCGUGCAUUCCUUUUCAGUUGUGCGGCAAGACUUGUAUCGUCUUGAUCGUAUAUGUGGGUUUCUUGUGUUGCAUACCUGAUCAAUGGCAUCGUUUUGAUCAAAAGUGUACCUUUUUCGUCUGGCGAUGCACUUGUUGCAUUGUCGGAUGAACCGUGUAGCAUCCUCUUUGAUCCAUACAGUUGACGUGUAUUUGUUGAUUGUUUGGCCUGUUGAGGAUGACUUGGUCUCUCGGAUAUGGAAGCCAAAGUGGGCAUGGGUUCGGAAGAUCCUUUUAUUGCCCUCAUUGAGCGUUCUCGCUUCUCUUACACGACCGCCUUUCACGUAUGGCACGUCCCAGCGUGUUUGGCUAUGUCGAAGAGGAAUGCUACCUGGUUGAUCCUGCC
rnacentral:misc_RNA from 1 species